rnacentral:lncRNA from 10 species
ACUUAGCCUUGUCCCUACCUCUUUACUCCUCUGUAGGCAGUAAUUCUUUUUUCUUUUCUUUCUUUUUUUUUUCUUUUGGUGUAACAGUAUCGCAUGAGCCAAGACUGUCAUGAAACUAUUUGGAUACUGUACUCUGGUUCCUUCAUCUCCUCCAUCUGCAUCAGCCUAAAUUGUCCUAGCUGUCUUUUGUUACAGGAGCCUCUGCCAUGAACCCGGGGAUAAGUGAGGAAAGAAAUUUUUCCUCCUUCACAGUAUCAAGUGCCAGGCCAGGGCACUUUGUCCAGGCCUCACUGUGAAGAAAGAGUAAUGUUCAAGGAUGGCAGCAGGAAGGACCCUAAUGAAGAGGUUUAUCUGAUUGGUUUACUGGAGUCCUAUGUGGGAUGAAUAGCUUCAGCCUUUGCGCUUGCACCUCUUUGCUGUCCACUCCAAUCAAGAACGGGGGCCCUCGCAACUCUCUCAGUUCUGAAACAAAUUAAAUCUCAGUGACAGACU